rnacentral:rRNA from 1 species
GCUCCUACCGAUUGAAUGUUCCGGUGAAGUUUUCGGAUCGCGGCGACGCCGGCGGUUCGCCGCCGGUGACGUUGUGAGAAGUUCAUUAAACCUUAUCAUUUAGAGGAAGGAGAAGUCGUAACAAGGUUUCCGUAGGUGAACCUGCGGAAGGAUCAUUG